rnacentral:rRNA from 1 species
ACGCUGGCGGCGCGCCUAACACAUGCAAGUCGAACGGAGCUUAGAGAGCUUGCUUUUUUAAGCUUAGUGGCGAACGGGUGAGUAACGCGUGAGUAACCUGCCCUGGAGUGGGGGACAACAGUUGGAAACGACUGCUAAUACCGCAUAAGCCCACGGUACCGCAUGGCACUGAGGGAAAAGGAUUUAUUCGCUUUAGGAUGGACUCGCGUCCAAUUAGCUAGUUGGUGAGGUAACGGCCCACCAAGGCGACGAUUGGUAGCCGGACUGAGAGGUUGAACGGCCACAUUGGGACUGAGACACGGCCCAGACUCCUACGGGAGGCAGCAGUGGGGGAUAUUGCACAAUGGGGGAAACCCUGAUGCAGCGACGCCGCGUGGAGGAAGAAGGUUUUCGGAUUGUAAACUCCUGUCGUUAGGGACGAUAAUGACGGUACCUAACAAGAAAGCACCGGCUAACUACGUG